rnacentral:tRNA from 1 species
GCUAUUUUGGCAGAUAAGUGCGUUGGAUUUAGAAUCCUUUAAUGUAAGUUUUACUUGCAGGUAGUA